AUUAACGCUAGCGGCAGGCAUAAUACAUGCAAGUUGAACGGCAGCACAGGUAGCAAUACUGGGUGGCGAGUGGCGCACGGGUGCGUAACACGUAUGCAACCUACCCUAUACAGGCGAAUAACCUUUAGAAAUGAGGGCUAAUACGCCGUAGUAUUACAGAUGGGCAUCUAUUUGUAAUUAAAGAUUUAUCGGUAUAGGAUGGGCAUGCGUCCCAUUAGUAGUUGGUAAGGUAACGGCUUACCAAGACGAUGAUG
rnacentral:rRNA from 1 species